AGCUCUUUGAAGAUUUUAAAGUAAAUAAAGAGUUUAACCUGCCCAGUGAUAGUAAUUAAAUGGCCGCGGAAAUAUAACCGUGCGAAGGUAGCGUAAUCAUUAGCCUUUUAAAUGGAGGAUGGUAUGAAUGGUUGAACGAGAUUAAACUGUCUCUUUCUUAGGAUCUUGAAAUUAAUUUUCUUGUGAAGAAGCGGGAAUUUAACUAUAGGACGAGAAGACCCUAUCGAGCUUGAGUGAUGUUUUUGGCUGUUAAGAUUGGCAAUGGAUAUUGUUAAGUAAAAUACUAGGUUUAGUUGUUGGCAGUGAGCAAGAAUAUUUAUUUUGGUUGGGGCAAUCACGAAGAAAAUAAAAUCUUUGUAAAAUUUUAAUAUGUAAAAUUGUUUAUUUAAUUUAAAAUAAAGAGAUCCAUUUAGAUAAAUGAAUAAAAGAAUAAGUUACCGUAGGGAUAACAGCGUAAUUUUUUUAGAAAGGCCUUAUUGACAAAGAAGUUUGCGACCUCGAUGUUGGAUCGAGACAUCCUAAAAGUGGAGAAGCUUUUAAGGGUUGGUCUGUUCGACCAUUAAAGUCUU
rnacentral:rRNA from 1 species